CCGAACCGAACCGAUAAACCGCACCGAACCGAACCGAAAAAAAUUAUGGAGUGGUUAAAAUGGUUAAUACGGAGUGGUUUGGUCUAGAAUUUUUACAAAUCUCGGUUUUCGGUUCUGGUUUGGAUUUAGGGCUCGGUUAACCGAACCGAACCGAAAACCGAGAAACCUAAACCUACGUCGUUUUAUAUAUGGGGUCUGAGAAAAGAGAGACCAAAAGACACUUACUAUAAAACCUAUCUUUAAAAUUCUAACCCUAAUUUAUCUAUUUUCCAGCCGUCAUAUCUUCUCCACCUCUUCUUUCUAACCCAAACACUUUCCUUCUCCUCCAUCAAUUCUUUUCCACCCAAAUAUUUUCCUUCUCCACCUAUUUUCUGCAUAGAUUAAUAGAUUUUAUGUCAAAAACCUCCAUUUUAAUGAUUAUGUGUUCUAUCAGAGGUGGUAUUCUUCGGCUUUCCUGUCGCCGGAGUUCGAGUUGUCGUUGAAAAAAACUUAUUUGGCGUUUUUAUACAAGAUGCCUUCCAUCAACAGCUUAUUUUAUAAGGACUAUCAAUUUUUUCAGUAGAUCUAUGAGUAAAGGAGCUAGAGAGAAAAACAACAAUAUUUUACAUUUUCGAUUUAGAUUUGUUGAGAAAAAUUGUAAUAUUUUGCAUUUUAGUUUUAGAUUUGUUAAGAAAAAUGUUAAUUAUACUACAUUCAGUUAAUGUAAUUAAUCAAAAUUAUUUAAUUUUUAUAUUUAGAUCUCUGGUAA